rnacentral:rRNA from 1 species
AUUGAACGCUGGCGGCAGGCCUAACACAUGCAAGUCGAACGGUAACAGGAAUCAGCUUGCUGAUUCGCUGACGAGUGGCGGACGGGUGAGUAAUGUCUGGGAAACUGCCUGAUGGAGGGGGAUAACUACUGGAAACGGUAGCUAAUACCGCAUAACGUCGCAAGACCAAAGAGGGGGACCUUCGGGCCUCUUGCCAUCGGAUGUGCCCAGAUGGGAGUAGCUAGUAGGUGGGGGAACGGCUCACCUAGGCGACGAUCCCUAGCUGGUCUGAGAGGAUGACCAGCCACACUGGAACUGAGACACGGUCCAGACUCCUACGGGAGGCAGCGGUGGGGAAUAUUGCAGAAUGGGCGCAAGCCUGAUGCAGCCAUGCCGCGUGUAUGAAGAAGGCCUUCGGGUUGUAAAGUACUUUCAGCGAGGAGGAAGGUGUUGUGGUUAAUAACCACAGCAAUUGACGUUACUCGCAGAAGAAGCACCGGCUAACUCCGUGCCAGCAGCCGCCGUAA